GAGGGACCCAUGUCGUAUCAGCUAGUUGGCGGGGUAACGGCCCACCAAGGCUAAGACGCGUAGCGGGUGUGAGAGCACGACCCGCGCCACUGGCACUGAGACACUGGCCAGACUCCUACGGGAGGCUGCAGUCGAGGAUCUUCGGCAAUGGGCGCAAGCCUGACCGAGCGACGCCGCGUGUGCGAUGAAGGCCUUCGGGUUGUAAAGCACUGUCGAGGGGGAGGAAGCCGCAAGGUUGACCUAUCCCUGGAGGAAGCACGGGCUAAGUUCGUGCCAGCAGCCGCGGUAAGACGAACCGUGCAAACGUUGUUCGGAAUCACUGGGCUUAAAGGGCGCGUAGGUGGAUCGGACAGUCUGUGGUGAAAUCCCCCGGCUUAACCGGGGAACUGCCGUGGAUACUGCCAAUCUCGAGGAGGGUAGGGGCGUCUGGAACUAGCGGUGGAGCGGUGAAAUGCGUUGAUAUCGCUAGGAACUCCGGUGGCGAAGGCGAGACGCUGGACCCUUUCUGACACUGAGGCGCGAAAGCCAGGGGAGCGAACGGGAUUAGAU
rnacentral:rRNA from 1 species